rnacentral:rRNA from 1 species
CGGCGGACGGGUGAGUAACGCGUGGGUAACCUGCCUCAUACAGGGGGAUAACAGUUAGAAAUGACUGCUAAUACCGCAUAAGACCACAGCACCGCAUGGUGCAGGGGUAAAAACUCCGGUGGUAUGAGAUGGACCCGCGUCUGAUUAGCUGGUUGGUGGGGUAACGGCCUACCAAGGCGAUGAUCAGUAGCCGGCCUGAGAGGGCGACCGGCCACAUUGGGACUGAGACACGGCCCAA